UACGUUCCCGGGCCUUGUACACACCGCCCGUCACGCCAUGGGAGUUGGUAGUACCCGAAGGGAUUUUGCUAACCGCAAGGGGGCAAAUUUCAACGGUAAUACCGAUGACUGGGGUG
rnacentral:rRNA from 1 species